rnacentral:rRNA from 1 species
UACGUAGGGUGCGAGCGUUAAUCGGAAUUACUGGGCGUAAAGCGUGCGCAGGCGGUUUGCUAAGACAGGUGUGAAAUCCCCGGGCUUAACCUGGGAACUGCGCUUGUGACUGGCAGGCUAGAGUACGGCAGAGGGGGGUGGAAUUCCUGGUGUAGCAGUGAAAUGCGUGGAUAUCAGGAGGAACACCGAUGGCGAAGGCAGCCCCCUGGGCCUGUACUGACGCUCAUGCACGAAAGCGUGGGGAGCAAACAGGAUUAGAUA